CUCACCAGCCUCACAUUUUUCACCACACAGAGCAGACCGUUUCAGCACCUGGUCAUGCUAGGCUGACUGCAGCUACUGGGCUUGUGGGAUCACCUGCCAGGAUGAAAGUGUCUCAGCGAAAGGACCUCAUGGGGAAGAGAAAGAUUAAAGACUCAGAGCCCUGGAGAUGUGACUCCAGUGACGUGGCCGGGAGAAAGAAAGAAUAAAUCACCACCAGAUAAACUGCAUUACUUGUUGGCCUGUGGAAAAAUGAACCUGCAUCCCUUUCUGAUGGAACGGGGGCUGGUUGGUGUUCUGGGUGGGACCAGGUGUUCUGGGAGUAGUGUUUUCAGAGUCCUUCCUCAGACAAAGCUCAGGGCGCAGCUGCCUUUGAGGAAGGGACAGCGGAGCUAUGGAAACGGCCACGUUCUCCUCAGCUUCAUCUAGAGCCGCCCCAGCCAUAUUUGUUUGACAUGUUGGGCUUCUCAAAUGAUUUCAAGAAAGAGGUACGUUGGGUUUAAAAAGAGAGAGAAAGCUGGAAAGCCACUGAUCUGAGGAAUAAUCAGUAGGCUGGGAGUCGGGAAGCCUGGUUCUGCCACUAAUUUUCUGGGCCACCUUAGCAAGUUAUCUCGCCCCUCUGGGCUAGGGCUUCCUCAUCUGGACACAGGAGAAGGGCCAGCGUCGUAAGUUUACGGCAAGGGUUCCAAGAUGGAGCUGCGGCAAACCUGCAGCCAGGACCUGCCUGCGGCAUAUUAUUACCAGGAGACCUUCUACAAAGAAUCUACCCUAAGAGAAAGAGAGGUGAAGAAACCAAAGAUGAGCGUUUCGGCGGUAACGACAAGAAAAAGUGUGUGGAAGCACCUGGUGUCAUCUGACACAGAGCAGGCUUGACAAACGCAGCUCUCGUGCUUACUGUCAAAGUGAUGAGCUGUUAUAUGUGUUCUGAGAAAUCUGGCUUUUGAGCUCGAUGAGCGAUAUUGCAACUUUUUCAUUUUGCUGUCGGAAAUGUGGAUCCGUAAGUACUCUCUUGGAGGAGAGGUUUCAUGCUUAAUUUCAGAAUGGCUCCACUGUAGUAUCCUUCCCACGGCAAAAUCAGCCUUUAUGUUCCCCCCAAAUAAACUUCAGCUCGUUGAUUAAAGCA
rnacentral:lncRNA from 1 species